rnacentral:lncRNA from 10 species
UGUGUCCCUGUCAAAAGGUUUUGAAAGAGUUUGAAAUUAGGGUUUCUUUGGGUUCCAGGAGGCACUGGCUCAGGACUUUGGCAAAAGACCCUUCAUCUGCUGACAUUUCUUGAAUGGCCUCGUUUAAGCCUAGCCACCUUGCCUCUUGCUCCUGGGACGUGGCUGCCCAUAAAAGCAGGGUGAGUGCUCAGUCAUUAGCCAGUUGUCAGUGAGUAUUCAAUGUCGCCAAAGUGCUGGGCUAGGCUUUGUGAGGGACACCAGAUCCCAGUUCUUAGAGCUUCCAGUCUAGUUAAAGAAGUAGUACCAGCCGGGCACGGUGGCUCACACCUGUAAUCCCGGCCCUUUGGAAGGCCGAGGCAGGUGGAUCACGAGGUCAGGAGAUCGAGACCAUCCUGGCCAACACGGUGAAACCCCAUCUCUACUAAAAAUACAAAAAAUUAGCCAGGCAUGGUGGCCAGUGCCUGUAGUCCCAGCUACUCGAGAGGCUGAGGCAGUGCCUAAACUAGAAAAGGAGAAGUAUUUCACUGGGCCAACAUCGGGGGGUGGUGCUGCAAACACAGUGUCACAGGACUUUGAAGGUGGGAGAGAGCUGUCUUGCUGCAUGUAGGUUUUUGGGGAUGGGCAAGUAAAUGGAUAGAUAGCCAGUUGAAAGGAUGGUAGC